UACAGAGGGUGCGAGCGUUAAUCGGAAUUACUGGGCGUAAAGAGUGCGUAGGUGGUUGGAUAAGUCAGAUGUGAAAGCCCUAGGCUUAACCUGGGAAUUGCGUUUGAUACUGUCUAGCUAGAGGAUGGGAGAGGGAAGUGGAGUUUCCGGUGUAGCGGUGAAAUGCGUAGAUAUCGGAAGGAACACCAGUGGCGAAGGCGGCUUCCUGGACCAUAACUGACACUGAGGCACGAAAGCGUGGGGAGCGAACAGG
rnacentral:rRNA from 1 species